UACGUAGGGUGCAAGCGUUAAUCGGAAUUACUGGGCGUAAAGCGUGCGCAGGCGGUUAUGUAAGACAGGUGUGAAACUCCCCGGGCUUAACCUGGGAACUGCAUUUGUGACUGCAUAGCUAGAGUACGGUAGAGGGGGAUGGAAUUCCGCGUGUAGCAGUGAAAUGCGUAGAUAUGCGGAGGAACACCGAUGGCGAAGGCAAUCCCCUGGACCUGUACUGACGCUCAUGCACGAAGCGUGGGGAGC
rnacentral:rRNA from 1 species